rnacentral:misc_RNA from 1 species
GUGAGUCAUCGAAUCUUUGAACGCACCUUGCACCCUUUGGUAUUCCGAAGGGUACGCCCGUUUGAGUGUCAUUGUACUCUCAACCCCACGACUUUUGUUGUGUGGGUUGGACUUGGAUCCCGUCGCGAUCUGCGACCGAUCCGAAAUGUAUCAGCGUGUGUCCGUCAUGACGAUAAACCGAUUGUUAAAUUUCAUCGGGCUCGCUCUGUCGAGGUUGUCUGGCGAAAGCACAUGCCGAACCCCCAUUACUUUUGACAAUUUGACCUCAAAUCGGGUGGGAUCACCCGCUGAACUUAAGCA